rnacentral:rRNA from 1 species
UACAGAGGGGGCAAGCGUUAUUCGGAAUUAUUGGGCGUAAAGGGCGCGUAGGCGGCUUGGCAAGUGGAUGGUGAAAUCCCUCGGCUUAACCGAGGAACUGCCGUCCAAACUGCUUCGCUUGAGACCGGGAGAGGUGAGUGGAAUUCCCAGUGUAGCGGUGAAAUGCGUAGAGAUCCGGAGGAACACCAGUGGCGAAGGCGACACGCUGGGCCGUACCUGACACUGAUGCGCGACAGCAUGGGGAGCAAACAGG